rnacentral:lncRNA from 1 species
GAGGAAGCAUUCUUGAAGUGGUGGGUGACGGAUUGUCUAAACCCUUCUAAGAUAUUCUGCACGGGAGAUUUUUGAGGCAGCUCAGCCAUGAAGAUCCCUGGAGGAAAGGGAGGAUGCUGGAGGACAAAAGAAAUAUUUGGACGUCAGAACUGAUUUAUAUUUUUGGAAGAGCUACGUUUCCUUUUCUGAAGAGAGGCGAGCGCGCCCCAUAUCCUGAGCUCGGCGGGA